ACAUACGACCAUACCCACUGGAGAACUCGGGAUCCCGUCCGCUCUCCCAUAGAUAAGCCAGUGAGGGCCGGAUUAGUAGUUGGGUCGGUGACGACCAGCGAAUACCUGGUGUUGUAUGUG
rnacentral:rRNA from 2 species